rnacentral:rRNA from 1 species
UCCAGACUCCUACGGGAGGCAGCAGUGGGGAAUAUUGCACAAUGGGGGAAACCCUGAUGCAGCGACGCCGCGUGAGUGAAGAAGUAAUUCGUUAUGUAAAGCCCUAUCGGCAGGGAAGAAAAGCGAACAGGUUCGCCUGGACGGUACCUGACUAAGAAGCCCCGGCUAACUACGUGCCAGCAGCCGCGGUAAUACGUAGGGGGCAAGCGUUAUCCGGAUUCACUGGGUGUAAAGGGAGCGUAGACGGCGACGCAAGUCUGGAGUGAAAGGCCGGGGCCCAACCCCGGGACUGCUCUGGAAACUGCGUCGCUGGAGUGCGGGAGGGGCAGGCGGAAUUCCUGGUGUAGCGGUGAAAUGCGUAGAUAUCAGGAGGAACACCGGCGGCGAAGGCGGCCUGCUGGACCGUGACUGACGUUGAGGCUCGAGAGCGUGGGGAGCAAACAGGAUUAGAUACCCGUGUA